rnacentral:rRNA from 1 species
UUAGCGGCGGACGGGUGAGUAACACGUGGGCAACCUGCCUGUAAGACUGGGAUAACUUCGGGAAACCGAAGCUAAUACCGGAUAGGAUCUUCUCCUUCAUGGGAGAUGAUUGAAAGAUGGUUUCGGCUAUCACUUACAGAUGGGCCCGCGGUGCCUUAGCUAGUUGGUGAGGUAACGGCUCACCAAGGCAACGAUGCAUAGCCGACCUGAGAGGGUGAUCGGCCACACUGGGACUGAGACACGGCCCAGACUCCUACGGGAGGCAGCAGUAGGGAAUCUUCCGCAAUGGACGAAAGUCUGACGGAGCAACGCCGCGUGAGUGAUGAAGGCUUUCGGGUCGUAAAACUCUGUUGUUAGGGAAGAACAAGUACAAGAGUAACUGCUUGUACCUUGACGGUACCUAACCAGAAAGCCACGGCUAACUACGUGCCAGCAGCCGCGGUAAUACGUAGGUGGCAAGCGUUAUCCGGAAUUAUUGGGCGUAAAGCGCG